rnacentral:rRNA from 1 species
UUCGAUUAGAGUUGAUCAUGGUCAGAUUGAACGCGGCCGCAGGCCUAACACAUGCAAGUCGAGCGGCAGUGGGGGGAGCUUGUUUCCCCCCCGGCGAGCGGCGGACGGUUGAUUAAUGUUUGGAGAUCUGCCCGAUGGAGGGGGAUACCCACUGGAAACGGUGGCUAAUACCGCAUAACCUCUUUGGAGUAAAGUGGGGGACCUUGGGGCCUCACGCCAUCGGAUGAACCCAGAUGGGAUUAGCUAGUAGGUGGGGUAAUGGCUCACCUAGGCGACGAUCCCUAGCUGGUCUGAGAGGAUGACCAGCCACACUGGGACUGAGACACGGCCCAGACUCCUACGGGAGGCAGCAGUGGGGAAUAUUGCACAAUGGGCGCAAGCCUGAUGCAGCCAUGCCGCGUGUAUGAAGAAGGCCUUCGGGUUGUAAAGUACUUCAGCGGGGAGGAAGGCACAGCGUGAAUAGCGUUGUUGAUUGCGUUACCCGCAGAAGA